UAUUUAGGUUUAGGCACUUUUGUCACGAAAAAUGGGAUCACAAGCAAAAACAUAUAUCUCAUGUUACGACCUUUCUAAAUUGCUAUUUGAUACAUGGCAUCGACAAGGGAAUGAUGCUCGACUACAGAAUCAUAUCCAUAGCCAAAGAACUUACAUCAUAAAUACAUCUACAUAAAACUGGUCUAUUCUAAAGAACUAAGACAAACAAAAUUGACAUCAUGAAACUACCAGUGAUAGACUAUUUCCUGUUUUUAAUGCUGUACGAACGAGCCUCAGCAAGUCUUAAUGGACCUAAUGUCUGCACCAAACAACUAAGGACAGCAUAUGCCGUCAACUACCGUCAAGCAACAAGACAAGUUUACAAAAUGAUUACUGUAUGCUGCAAGGGAUGGAAACAAGUCGGGGACAAGUGUCCACAAGCUAUUUGCAGUCAAAAGUGCGAGAAGGGUACUUGCGACAAACCUGACUUCUGCAAGUGUAAUCCUGGGUACUAUGGAAAGCUUUGCGACAGAGGGCACGUAUGGCAAUAAGUGCUCAUCAUCCUGUAAGUGCAAACCAAUCCACACUUUAGAAUGCCAUCACGUGACAGGAGUAUGCACCUGUGAUGGCGGGUAUCGUGGUCAGCGGUGUGAAUCUAAGUGUUCUGCUGGUUCUUAUGGAUUCCUGUGUAGUGAAAAGUGCGAAUGUCCUGGUGAUAAUUUUCUUCACAAUACAUGUGAUCACGUGAAUGGCUCGUGCUUCUGUAAACCAAGUCAUACUGGCUCCAACUGCACUGAUCGUACGUAUACCAACUUGGGACAGGGGUGGGAUAUAACUUGUAUACGGUCACGUGAUUGUCUCGUGAUUCUAAAAUGAGCCACUGUCAUACUAAUCAAUAAUGCGUGGUCAACGUUUCGCACUUUUAUUCCAGCAACUUGUUUUCAAUCAAAAUACACAGUGUAACAAAGGAUUUCGGUGGCUUAGCUUUAUUCUCUUCUCGCAGACGUUAUUUGGCUAGUUCCCAGAUCUCUCCACCUGCAAGAGGAGACUCAAGCUUGCACUAUAUGCUAAGUGCUUUCGACAUAAGUCAAGAUGCAAGUAUUUUUGAAAGCAAUUUUUAUAUAUUUCUCGGUCUUUUUCGUCAAAUGGAA